UUAAGGUCUAUUAAGCCUAUUAUUUUCAUCACCAUCAGUAGAUAGUCUAUUGGUUGGAGAUAAUUGAAGCACACACACCAGCAGUAGCCAGUUUUAAAACCUACUACGCUGAAGCACUGCCCUGGAUAAGCUCCAACUGCUAAACCCCUAAGCCCUGGUGGUCUGGUUCAAGCCUUCUUCUUUGUUUCAUCCCUCAACGGUUUACGUUUCUUUUUCAGGGUUUGAGCUAGAAAUGCCUUCAAAGGCAAAGAAGCAUUCAAAGACAGUUUCGAGGCUUUCAAAUUUUGGCCAAUCUUUGUCCCCUGGAGCACCAUCGUUGAUUUCUUCUACUGAUUUAGAAAUUCAUGAGCAGGAUCUCAUCCUCUCUCUAGAACAAGCAUCAACUAGAUUUCCUUUUAUGAUUGGGAAAUUUGCUUUCAUUGGUCGAGUCACUGAUGUUGUUUCUGAGUUAAGAGGAUGUAAAAUUUGGCUUUCAGAGUCUUCCAUGGUUGCUUUUUCCCUUUCCCCUGGUUCCAUUG